GGCCCGGUGGCGUAGCGGUUAACUACUCACUUGGUGUCCCAUAAGGGGUGCGGGUUCGAAUCCUGCAGGGCUCAUUUAACCAAUUUCCACUGUUAAAUCACCAAACAGUACCAGAUGUAACCGGCCCCUUUUAAGAUGCUGGCUAUAACCAGGUGCUAAAUUCUCACUGAUCUUGUGGGGCUAGAACCCCCUGAGUGCAUCAAGUUAGAUCAGUACUGGAUAGAUAAGGUGUUGUGGAGGUGGAGACACCUGCAGGAUAGUGAAUCAUUGUCAAGCUUAACUGACCAGGGGUUCACCACCACUUCACCCACUACUAUCUAGACACCUCUAAAUUCUGGGGAAUGAAUUUAAAAACUACCCGAUUAGGGCACCCCGGGCCUAGCAAGGACCUAGGUGAGACGAGGCCUAGGCGCCCUUAAUAGGUGGUUAGUGCAAGCAAGGCCGUGACGGCCAAUUGGUAGGCUGGAAUGCCGAGAUUGGCAGCCGGAAGGUCGGGGGGAACCCGGGUGGGCGGCGGCACCCUAGGGGGAAUGAUAACCCCUAAUGGUGGCCCGAGAGGACAGAGGCGGCGGCCGGUUAUAUAGGGUGUUAAAAUAUGUAUAUAG
rnacentral:sRNA from 2 species